rnacentral:rRNA from 1 species
AACGAACGCUGGCGGCAUGCCUAACACAUGCAAGUCGAACGAGACCUUCGGGUCUAGUGGCGCACGGGUGCGUAACGCGUGGGAACCUGCCCUUAGGUUCGGAAUAACUCCCCGAAAGGGGUGCUAAUACCGGAUAAUGUCUUCGGACCAAAGAUUUAUCGCCUUUGGAUGGGCCCGCGUUGGAUUAGCUAGUUGGUAGGGUAAAAGCCUACCAAGGCGACGAUCCAUAGCUGGUCUGAGAGGAUGAUCAGCCACACUGGGACUGAGACACGGCCCAGACUCCUACGGAAGGCAGCAGUGGGGAAUAUUGGACAAUGGGCGAAAGACUGAUCCAGCAAUGCCGCGUGAGUGAUGAAGGCCUUAGGGUUGUAAAGCUCUUUUAACCGGGAUGAUAAUGACAGUACCGGGAGAAUAAGCGCCGGCUAACUCCGUG